GCCGAGGUGGCUCAGCCUGGUAGAGCGAUGGACUCAUAAUCCAUAGGUCGUGGGUUCAAAGCCCACCCUCGGCA
rfam:Candidatus Methanomassiliicoccus intestinalis Issoire-Mx1, complete genome.